UUUUGAUAUCUAUCGGACAAAGUGAGGGCGCCCAAGAUGGUGCGGAAUGUAUUGAAUAAAAUUGAAGAAAUUAUACCGAAAUGGAAGAUUGUACCGACGAAAAAUGUCAUCGACUUGUCAUUCAAGGAUCCGAUUAAGCGCACAAGGGCGAGGACACUCGAUCAAGAACUAUAAGUUGAUAUACCAAGAAAAACCUAGACUGAAAACAGCGCUGGAACUGCUGAGAACUAGCAUCAGCCUUGAACGUAACUUAAAGGAGGUGACAUUCCCCUUCCUGAAGUUGCACGGGUAAGCAGAUACAGUAAUAGAUCCUGAAGUAAGCAAGGCCUUGUAUGAGAAAGCAAGCAGCAGCGAUAAAACCAUAAAAUUGUAUCCAGGGACGUGGCAUGCAUUGACAUCGGGUGAGCCCGAUGAAAACGUCCAAAUCGUUUUUGAAGAUAUCGCGGCAUGGCUCGACAAAACACUACGACACUGCAACACGUUAAGCAACUUCCUCA